AUGUUGCAAAUCGAAACAAUACUGUAAGUUUCACCCUAUAGUGUUUAUAAAGUAUCUACAAAUGCUGUAUUUGCCUACAUUCACUUCCCCUGAAUGUGAAGGAACAGAGUUUGUGUGCAUGUAUGGUAUAUCUCAAGUACAGGGUAUAUUUUGAGUGCCACUUACUGUUUACCCAAUAUCACACUCCUUACUUAUUUAAGAGAGUCCAGCAAGACGAGAUGGAGAAGAUUGAGCAGCACAUCAAAUCAUCCAAAGGCAAGAACGACGCAAAGCCAUUGGACAAGCCUGAACAAUACGAGCAAAUCUUUCCUCUGUGCCAAGUCUGUCCUGUUUGUGUUUCUCGCUCAAUUGCUGGUGAUAGGAAAGGUCAGGAGAAUGUCCCUCAUUUCUCUACAUCUUUCUCCUUUCCUUUCUCCUUCUCUUCUCUUCCUUCUCUCCCUCCCCUUCCUCUACCUCCAUGUCUUUCCCUUAGCUGUCUAUCAGACUCUGCAGAGUGAUCAGUGUGUGUUGCAGGUGCUAGGCCUCAUCUUAGCUUUUGGGAACUUCAUGAACGGAUGGAACCGAUCGCGUGGGCAGGCUGACGGCUUCACUCUGGACAUCCUGCCAAAACUCAAGGACAUCGAGAGCAGUGAUAACUGUCAGAGUCUUUUGUCAUACAUCGUUGCUUACUAUCUAAGGAACUUUGAUGAGGAUGCCGGUAGAGAGACCUGUGUCUACCCUCUCCCUGAACCCCAGGACCUCUUCCAGGCCUCUCAAAUGAAGUUUGACGACUUUCAGAGAGACCUACGCAAGCUAAGGAAAGAUCUUAAUGACUGAAAAUGGCAGAGGUCUUCAAUCAAGCCAGAGAGAAGGCUUCGUACAGCAUCCAACCCAAACAGUCUUCUGGAAUAAAAGCCAAACUGGGUCAGUAGAUCUGAGCCAAUGGACUGGUCUUAUCCAGGAUACGUUUGCACAAGUGAGAUCAACAAGCUUUUUAGCUAUUGUAUUGUGUUUAAAAAUAAUUGUUUAUUUCGGUCACCUAACUGGGUAUAUGUAUGCCUGACAUGUUGUCACCUUGUUGGAAAGUGUGAUAUUAACACAGUACCACACUUUGCCGUAAUCUGUCAAUGAUGCAUUUCCCCCAGUUCCAAACAGCGCAUUCUGCUGUCCAAAGUAAGAAUGUAGAUUUAAUUAAAGAGCUAAUAAUUUUUGGACAGGUGCCAUUGUAAAGAGAAAUACAUUGUUUUACAGUGAGACAUGUGUUGUGGUAUCAGCCUGUCCCCUGUGGCUAUAGAUAAGACACCAGUUAAGACAAUCAUGUUUUACAGAGAAAAUAAGCUAUUUAUAUCAAUCUCUGCACUGCCUUCAAGUAUAAAGAGGAGCACAAAAGUGGGCCUAUAUAAAUAUUUGCCUACCGGAUAGCAAGUGCCUAGUUAAAGACAAAUGAGCCAAUUAAAUUCAACUAAAUUACUCUGUCAAUACAACCUGUAUGGAAACCAGUCCUGCUCAGUAAAAACCUGCAUUGUGACAAUCAUCAGUUUAUCAUACACCAUAGUUCAAGAAUGAUACGUGAUGUACAGUUGUGGUUUAUGCAAUAAAUCAUGAAAUGAACCGUGACUUGAGCUUAGCUGCUAAGGCAUUUAGUACGUCAUCAGGACAUCUCAUCAUCCUCUAUUUUUUUGAUUAGCUACAGCGCCUCACUUCUUCUACAUUUAGUUGUGUUACAGAAUGGGAUUCAAAUGGAUUUCACUGCCCUGUUUUUGUCAAUGAUCUACACAAAAUACUCUGUAAUGUCAAAGUGGCUUUUUGUUUUGAACAUUUCUAAAAGAUGAAUGAAAAAUAAAACACUAAUAUCUUUAUUAGAUAAGUAUUCACCCCCCUGAGUCAAUACACCUUUGGCAGUGAUUACAGCUGUGUGUCUUUUGGGGUAAGUUUCUAAGAGUUUUUGCCCAUUAUAAUUUGUUUAAUUCUUCCAGCUAUGUCAAAUUUGUUGUUGAUUAUUGCUGGACAACCAUUUUCAGAUCUUGACAUAGAUUAUCAAGCAGAUUUUAAGUCAAUACUGAAACUCGGCCACUCAGGAAGAUUCACUGUCUUCUUGGUAAGCAACUCCAGCGUAGAUUUGGCCUUGUGUUUUAGGUUAUUGUCCUGCUGAAAGGUGAAUUCAUCUCCCAGUGUCUGGUGGAAAGCAGACUGAACUAGGUUUUCCUCUAGAAUUAUGCAUGUGCUUUGCAACAUUCCGUAUCUUUUCAAGCUUUCUCUGCCCUUAAUCUCGUUCUGAACACCUCCAAAAUGAGGGUCAUGUGGUUUGAUAAGAAGAAUGUCCCUCUUCCCACCGGUGUGGUUACUACCUGUGAGGGUUUAGAGCUUGAGGUAGUCACUUCAUACAAGUACUUGGGAGUAUGGCUAGACGGUACACUGACCUUCUCUCAGCGCAUAUCAAAGCUGCAGGCUGAGGUUAAAUCUAGACUUGGUUUCCUCUAUCGUAAUCGCUCCUCUUUCACCAUAACUGCCAAUCUAACCCUGAAUCAGAUGACCAUCCUACCCAUGCUAGAUUACGGAGACAUAAUUUAUAGAUCGGCAGGUAAGGCUGCUCUCGAGCAGCUAGAUGUUCUUUACCAGUCGGCCAAAAGUUGUGUCACUCUCCUUAUAGGACACAUCACUGCACUCUAUACUCCUCUGUAAACUGGUCGUCUCUGUAUACCUGUCGCAAGCCCCACUGGUUGAUGCUUAUUUCUAAAACACUCUUAGGCCUCACUCCCCCCUAUCUGAGAUACCUACUGCAGCCCUCAUCCUCCACAUACAACACCCAUUCUGCCAGUCACAUUCUUUCUUUGGUCCACCAAAGCACACACAUCCCUGAGUUGCUCUUCUUUUCAAUUCGCUGCAGCUAGCGACUGGAACGAGCUGCAAUAAAACACUCAAACUGGACCGUUUUUAUCUCCAUCUCGUCAUUCAAAGACUCAAUCAUGGACACUCUUACUGCUUGGCGUGAUGUAUUGCUGUCUCUUCUUCUUUCCCUUUGUGCUGUUGUCUGUGCUCAAUAAUGUUUGUACCAUGUUUUGCGCUUCUACCAUGUUGUGCUGCUGCCAUGUUGUGUUGCUACCAUGUUGUUGUGAUCUUGUGUUUUCAUGGGUUGCUGCCAUGCUAUGUUGUUGUAUUAGGUCUCUCUUCAUGUAGUGUUGUGGUGCAUCUCUUGUCGUGAUGUGUGUUUUGUCCUAUAUUUUUAUUUAAUUUUUAAUCCCAGCCCCCGCAAAAGGAGGCCUUUUGCCUUCUGGUAAAUAAGAAUUUGUUCUUAACUGACUUGCCUAGUUAAAUAAAUGAAAAUGAAAAAUAAAAUGUAGUUGUUGAG